AGAAGGAAUCUGAUUGGAGAGGGGAAUGGACUAUGGGAGAAAGCGAAGGAGGAGAGGCACCAGGAAGAGGUGAAGAAAAGAGGUGAGUGGGGAAUUGAAGAAGAGGGAAGGGGGAAAGUACCAGCAGUUGGAGAAAUAGGAGUUCAUGCCAUCAGGCUGGAGGCUGUCCAGACGGGAUAUGAAAUGUGAAUCCUCCAACCUGAAAAUAGCAUCAUCAUGGUAGUAGAGGAGAUCAUGGACUGACAUAUCAGAACAGGAAUGAAGAUUGGAAUUAAAAUGGUGGCCACCAGAAAAUUCUGCUUUUUGUGAUGGAGCAAACGUACUCAGCAGAGUGGUCCUCCAAUCUACAUUGGGUCUCACCCAUGUAGAGGAGGCUGCAUUGGGAGAAGUACAAGCUUCUAACUUGUUCUCCUUCCCCUCCCUCUGCCACCUUAUUCUACUUCUCCCCUUUCCUCUCCAGUCCUGAUGAAAGGUCCCGGCCUGAAACAUCGACUGUUUAUUCAUCUCCAUAGAUCCUGCCUGACCUGCUGAGUUCCUCCAGCAGUUUGCUCUGGAUUUCCAGCAUCUGAAGAAUCUGUUGUGUUUAUCUUUGUGAGGACAUGGUUACACCCGGGUGAACUUGUGGUCGAUGGGCACAACUUGUAUGCAGCCCACACAAAUUGCGGGCUUUCCGACGUGUCUGUAGGGCAGACUGUGCAGAGGGAGAGAGGAAAAACUGGGCCAAUAACACAGACUUUUUGGUGGGACGAGCCAGUUCAGGGACAAGCAAAGAAAAAGAGUUACUGGAAGUUGAAGAAUUCCAUCCUGAGCCUGGGAUGCUGGAAUAUUCCCAAUCUGUAGAUAAAACAAGUUUGAGAAUCAAGACUGCAUUUUCUGUCUGGGUACAGACAUGGCAGGUACUGACAGAAGGUUUUUAAAUUUUAUUUUAUUUAGAGAUACAGUGCGGAAUAGGCCCUUCCAGCCAAUUGAGCCGUGACACCAGACCCCCAAUCUAACCCAGGUCUAAUCACUGGGCAAUUUACAAUGACCAACUAACCUUCUAACCGGUGAGCCUUUGUACUGAGGGAGGAAACUCAUGCAUUUCCUGGAUAGGGUGUAUAAAACUCCAUACAAAGGAUGCCAGGAUUGAACUGCAAACUCCAAUGCUCUGAAGUGUAAUAGCAUCGCGCUAACCACUACGCUACCGUGUGACAAUGGCAGGACCGUCCCAUGAGGAUACGGCAUUUUCGACUGAGAUGAGAAGAAUUUUCUUCACUCAGAGGGUGGCAAACGUAUGGCAUUCUCUACCACAGAAGGCAGUGAAGGCAAAGUCAUUGAAUAGAAAAAGAGGAUUUCGAGACAGAAAGCCGCCUAGGGUAUGGAGAGAGAGAGAAGGAAUCGAUAUUGAUUUGGAACAGGGUUUCGAAACCUCUUGUUUCCCACCCACCCCCCGUGACAACACCCCUAA